rnacentral:rRNA from 1 species
UACAGAGGAGGCAAGCGUUGUUCGGAAUUACUGGGCGUAAAGGGCGCGUAGGCGGCCUGCUAAGUCGAACGUGAAAUCCCUGGGCUCAACCCAGGAACUGCGUCCGAUACUGGUUGGCUUGAAUCCGGGAGAGGGACGUGGAAUUCCAGGUGUAGCGGUGAAAUGCGUAGAUAUCUGGAGGAACACCGGUGGCGAAGGCGACGUCCUGGACCGGCAUUGACGCUGAGGCGCGAAAGCCAGGGGAGCAAACGGGG